rnacentral:rRNA from 1 species
AUUGAACGCUGGCGGAAUGCUUUACACAUGCAUGUCGAACGGCAGCACGGGGGCAACCCUGGUGGCGCGUGGCGAACGGGCGCGUAAUACAUCGGAACGUGCCCGGUCGGGGGGGCUAACGUAGCGAAAGUUACGCUAAUACCGCAUACGAUCUGAGGAUGAAAUCGGGGGACCUUCGGGCCUCGCGCGGUCGGAGCGGCCGAUGUCAGAGUAGGUAGUUGGUGGGGUAAAGGCCUACCAAGCCGACGAUCUGUAGCUGGUCUGAGAGGACGACCAGCCACCCCGGGACUGAGACACGGCCCAGUCCCCUACGGUAGGCAGCGGAGGGGAAUUGUGGACAAUGGGCUCAAGCCUGAUCCAGCCAUGCCGCGUGCAGGACGAAGGCCUUCGGGUUGUAAACUGCUUUUGUAUGGAACGAAAAGGCUCUGGCUAAUACCUGGGGCUCAUGACGGUACCGUAAGAAUAAGCACCGGCUAACUACGUG